rnacentral:rRNA from 1 species
AACGCGUGGGCAAUCUACCCUUGAGUUGGGGACAACUCCCCGAAAGGGGGGCUAAUACCGAAUGUGGUCCUCUCGGGCAUCCGAGAGAGACUGAAGGUGGGGAUCCUUCGGGACCUGCCGCUCGAGGAGGAGCCCGCGUACCAUCAGCUUGUUGGUGAGGUAACGGCUCACCAAGGCUUACGGUUAGCUGGUCUGAGAGGAUGGUCAGCCACACUGGGACUGAGACACUGCCCAG